GACGAACGCUGGCGGCGUGCUUAACACAUGCAAGUCGAACGAAGUGGCGAACGGGUGAGUAACGAGUAAUCAACCUGCCCUUCAGAGGGGGACAACAGUUGGAAACGACUGCUAAUACCGCAUACUGACGGGGGGGACUGCGUCUGAUUAGCGAGUUGGAGGGGUAACGGCCACCCAAGGCGAUGAUCAGUAGCCGGUCUGAGGGGAUGAACGUCCACAUUGGGACUGAGACACGGCCCAGACUCCUACGGGAGGCAGCAGUGGGGAAUCUUCCGCAAUGGACGAAAGUCUGACGGAGCAACGCCGCGUGAGUGAUGACGGCCUUCGGGUUGUAAAGCUCUGUUAAUCGGGACGCGGUACCGGAAUAGAAAGCCACGGCUAACUACGUGCCAGCAGCCGCGGUAAUUC
rnacentral:rRNA from 1 species